ACUCCCGUGUCUUCAGCCUCUACCUUGCGGCUAGUCUAAUUGCUGGUUGUGGGUGUUUGUUUCGUUGGACCUCGACCUGACUAGAAAUCUCCUUUUCUCCUUGCGUUUCCCGUUUCUGGCUCCUGAGCAUUUCCUUGUGUCGCAACGGUCAAGGCUGAACGUCGAACUUUGUACCAAAGCCUUACGAACGGCUUACCUAGAGCCCAAGGCCAGGAGUCACCGGGCACCUAAAUAUCCAGGGGCAGGGACCACUUAAUUCAAGAAUCUGUAACAAUACCUGAUAGGGUCCUUAAGAUGUGGAAUUAAUGAAGAAAACAAAAGAGAUUGUAGGUGUUUAGUAAGUGUUUGUGGAUUGAAUGAAUCAAAAGAAAAAGCACACCUCCAAAACCUUGGCAAAAAAACAAAACAAAACAAAACAAAACAGAACAAAAAUCUCAGUACAGAAGCAAAUGCCAACUAGAGUUACAAACUGAUUCCAAAGAGUUCUCUUCUCUAUGCAAAUGUCUGGAUAACAUACAGUUGCUGAUCCCAGAGCACUCCCUAAUAAACUUCCUGCAUGCUAAUUUCUUCUGAGUCUGUUUCCGGAACUGGACCUACAGCAAAAUCAAUUAAAGCAGCUCUGCUUUUAUCGUUUAUAAAUAUUGACUAUCCAUGUAAGAUUUCGCUUAGGGCAAACCAAACUAAAAAUCUUUGAAAGCCACUGAUCUAAUGUUUAAACAAAUGCUUCACCUUAUAUGAAAAAUCAUCCUUACAGUUUUGUGCAAGACCAAUUUAUUUACGUUAAUCCUUCCAAACCAACAACUAAGCAGUGUUUUCUCCUUUUGUAAUUGUUUCUUCUUAGCCUUUAUUUGUAUGUUGCAUUUACAUACAUACUCAUGUGCUUGUUAAAGCUGAAAAUACGUUAAAUAAUGAAAAAAAUAUUUUUCAUAUUACAUAUGUAAAACGAAGAAGCGAUACAACAGAAGCAAUUGUAGCAGACCAGAGAAGGGCAUUCAGUAGACGGCAUAUAUACUCAAAUACUGAUAGAGUUUUUUACAUAUCCUGUCCCCUACCCUCAAAAAAUAACUCUUAAGAUUUUGACCUAAAACAGCUAUGGUAUAAAUAAGGGUAUUGUAUAUAGAAUUUUCAUUCUUCUGUUAAAAAAAAAACUCACAUGAAAAAAUAUACCAUCGACUAGCCUCUUGUAAUAAAGGAGUAAACCAAUAACAAAAAAGGACUGUGGUCUUAUGAUAAAAUUCAUUGUAUUCUGUGGUGCAUUGGAAAGCUAUCAAGGAAAUUUCCAAAUAAUUAAGUUGCUGAAAGGCUAAAUGACUUUAACUGCUGAAAAGAUAACUCAAAUUUAAUAAGCAUGUGUAUGAUUAAGUUCUGGAUCUUAGCAGGUCCCGGCAGAGCUCAUUCAAUAAUUCUAACUUACACAAUAGUCAAGGCAACAAAGGAGAAAUAGUUUGGAUGCAGAGGUUGAUCCUGAGCUAGGUUUUCCUACUUCUCUAUCGCCUGGAAAGCCAUACACACAUCAGGCCUUAGCUUUCUGUUGCAGCAUUAGGGAUGAUUCACUCUCAGGUAUGGUGUUGCUUUGGCAAUUUCCAAACUUGGUGUGGCAGCAAUUAACUGAUAUAUAGAACAUGAUAUAGAGAGUCAGGAGAGAGGCUCAGGAUGCAAGGUUGUGAAAGACUAUUAUUUAUUGGAAAAAAAUAACAAAGUACUUUAUAUACAUGUUAUUUAACAUAUAUGAUCUGGGUGACUAGAACAUUCUAGCGGUGGAUUUAUUCUGUAGCCUGAAAUAUCCAAGCUUAGAUACUUGAGAAUUCCUGAUCACAACUCUGAGUUUUUUUAAAAAAAUUAAAAUUGAGUAGAUAAAAGUCUAUUGAAAAAUACUGGAAAAAUAUGAAAUUUAGGUAGCAUCAAUGACCACAUGUGUUCUAAAAUAUCCUUUCUGGACAAAUAGUGAUUUCAUCAAGUACAACACUGAAAAUACAUACAGUCUCCUAAAAAUAUGCAAGUGUAUGGUAGUAAUACUGUAUAUGCAAAUAAUAGCAAUAUUCUUCCAUCAAAAGUGAAUAAACUUUAUAAAUGAUAACGUA